rnacentral:rRNA from 1 species
CGGGUGAGUAACGCGUGAGGAACCUGCCUCAAAGAGGGGGACAACAGUUGGAAACGACUGCUAAUACCGCAUAAGCCCACGGCUCGGCAUCGAGCGGAGGGAAAAGGAGCAAUCCGCUUUGAGAUGGCCUCGCGUCCGAUUAGCUAGUUGGUGAGGUAAUGGCCCACCAAGGCGACGAUCGGUAGCCGGACUGAGAGGUUGAACGGCCACAUUGGGACUGAGACACGGCCCAG